GAUGAAAUUAGGUUAAAGAUUGUGGGAACCAGGGUAGAUGCCUCAGAUAUUUUUGCAAUUGGAUCACUCAUGGAUGAUUACCUCGGUCUUGUGAGCUAGAAGCUUUUGUUAUUAUUCGUAGGAAAUAUCCCAGCUGAAAAGUUGUUACUAUGACAGCAAUUGAUGGAUUCCUGUCAGAUAGAGAUAAUGGCAACCAGUGACAUCUUCACAGAUUUGAACUAGGCCAUUAACAAGCGGAUGUAAAUAUUGUGCUGCUUAGCAAAUUCUCUGAUGGGAAUCAUUGCAAAGAAUAGAACUUCUACAUGUACAUGUCAAAGACUCAAAGCCUAUGUUACUAAUAAGAUGUGACACACAUGUGUAAUGUGCUUUUGAAUCGAUGCACAAAGGCCUUGUUAUGCUGUACUUCUUUUGUAUUUGUUUGUUACAGUAUUUAUAUUCCAAGUUCUAAUUAGGAUUAUAGUUACUUGUGCAGGACGAAGAAGACAGAUCAAAGCAAUGUGGAUGAAUACUGUAUGUUGAGUGCCUGAUAGAGUGAAUAAAGAGAAAAAUAAAAAAUGUG
rnacentral:lncRNA from 1 species